GAUCUCAAUAAAUUCUUGCAAUAGAUGUUGGUGAUAGUUGAUCUACUGUAGGAGUAAGAUACGCAUCUAGAUACAAUCUAUUGAUCUUGAUAGAGAUGAGUAGUCCUAUAAGAUUUAAGAGGCUAAGUCUAAGAGUCUAUAGCCACAUAGUGUGAUUGAUGAAAAAAAAUUUUCAUGAGGAUCGCAAUUAAACUUGAGC
rnacentral:lncRNA from 1 species